CUGUUCCACUAAACAACUUGAUCAAUAUUCCAUUUAAGCACUAAUUAGUGUAAAGGACGAGAGAGAGAGAGACAUAUUAAAAAAAAAUAAGGACGUAUAUUACUCAUUUACCCUUCCACAAAAGGGAGAAGAGCUUAAAAGGAUAAUUGACUUUAGACCAUAGAUUGCAAUAAUUGAAGAGCAUUUUUCAUCGAUCAGGUUUGAUUCUGCCAAGCCUAAAAAGUAUUAUUACGACAUUGCAUUAGAUUUGAGAGCUUAUAUUGAGUUGGCUUAAGCUUAUUUGUUUGAGAGGGUGGCAUUUAGCCUGGGUAAGUGAGGUUUUUUCUCAUCGUGGGAAAGUUGGAUUUUCACCAUUAGAUUAAAGAGGUGUAUUGAUCUUAUCAUAGUUUACCUGUACUCUAUUCAUCUUCUAGAUCUGGAAGCAAAAUAAUCUUCCGUCCGCUCUCUUUCCAUGUCUCCUCCACUCACCCAUCACCACCAUACAAAAGCAUUUGCUUCCAUCCUCUCUGUUCACACGCAGCCAUCAUCACCAUGAACAUCACAGACUCAUAAAACACCAACAACAACAACUUAUUAACCCAAACUGAAUUAAUCAUUCCUUGAAACCCCAAUCUUUUAACCAUUUGUUCAACACACGCAUUGUUGUUUUCUGUUUCCAGUUUGUGUUUCUCUUUACCAAUUCUCUUGUGAAUCAUUAAAGAAAAGCUGUUAAAGAUUAAAGAAUUUCUAGUUACGUGUGUGUUCUCUCACAAUACAAGCAUUAAAGAAAAGCUGUUAAAUAUUAAUGGAUGGGGCAGGCAUAAUAACAAAUUAAAAUUAAAGUUGCUGGAUUUGCUUGGAGGAGAGUUGUUUAUGUGAAACUUGAAAUGUUUUUGUAUGGAGAAGAGUUGCAGGUUGUGGUUGGAGGAGAGAGAAUUGUUGGGGAAGAUAGUGUGAAAAAUUCAGUGUUGAGAGAACAUGAUAAGAGUGUACUCUUUAUUUAAUCAAAUGGCUAAGAUCAACUUUCCCAUUAUGGAAAACUACUUCCCUUUCCCAUACUAAACCCCACCGUUUGAGAGUAAUGGUACCAAUAGUACUAGUACUAUUUUCGUAAAGAAGCCACACACAUUAAAAUAUGUGCCUAAAGUAUAUACUCAGUAUUAUGUACAAUACCCAAAUAAAAAAAACAGGGUCACAAUGAAAAACAGGGUCAUUCAUUCCCUAUUCCCGUUGAAUAUCUAUGCUUCACAUCUAUUUUUUUUAUGCACGUAUCGAAGAUGAAGUGGCAAAUAAGAAAUGUUUAUUUGGAAUGGUGCAGAUUUUGUAUUCGGUGUCGGAAUGACUCGAAUUAUACCUUUUCGGAAAGCACCAGAUCUCACGAGCAAAACUCCUUUCUUUGUCAUGUUGUAGGGGUGAAUUUAGUCAUUCGAGGUCGUCUGAAAGUCCGAAACUACAUUUCAAUAUUUCAGCAUAUUCUAGAUUUUUCUAUUUUAUUCCAAUUUGUUAUUUUUCGGCCAUACAUGUAUGUUAUUUCCUCUAGUGUUUAAACAAAACUUAUGCAGUUUAAGAGACAUUUUUUCAUUCAAUAAAAAUUACCGAGACUUUUUUCAAUUUUGGUGGAUUCUGGAAACCCUUAUUUGAUAGGUUUGUCGUUUGCAGCUUGUUUAUCUUUUAUGUUUAGCGCUUACUAGUUCUUACUUCCAUUACGCGUCUUACUUUUAAUGAUUUGAUGUUCU
rnacentral:lncRNA from 1 species